UCUGUCCGAAAAUAUUUAUGCGAUAACUAGACAAUUAUUUUGUAAAUUUACCUCAAAUUCUUCUUCUAUAUACAAGUCUCUCAAAAAAAAAACACUAAUAAACCCACUUUUUCACAACAUUUUUCUACCACGUUUUCAAAAAAAAAAAAAUCAGUACUCUUCAAACGCAACCGCAAUGAAGAACCAAUAUGGCUCCCUUUCAACUCUAGCACCAAGAUUCCCGGCAUGUCUUUUCGCAACAACCUCUAGCUAUCCGCAAAAACAAACUCUUGGGAGAUUAUCCCCAAGAUUCGAUCAUAGAAGGUGCUUUUGCACUUACUAA
rnacentral:lncRNA from 1 species